GGCGUAGUAACAAUGUUACUCACAUACCUAACAGUGACGCGUUUACAGAAGAAGUGACUGGAAGGGCUUGCUGGUAGCCAUGACAGUCUGAAGUAAUGCUAAGUUGGCAGUAAUAGUUACUGACUUAUCCGAAAGUGUGUUGGAGCUUAAAGGAGUGGUCGUUGAUUACCAAACUUUGUCCCUAAUCUUUACGCAUACCAUAAUUCUGAUAGCAGACAAUAGUUAGUUAGUUAUCAUUAAUACCUUUAGAGCGCCGUCUGGGUUAGUUUGGUUCCGUCAUGUCUGGGGCCGGAGACUUCGGGAACCCUUUAAGGAAAUUUAAACUGGUCUUUCUCGGGGAACAAAGUGUGGGAAAGACCUCGUUGAUUACCAGGUUCAUGUAUGACAGCUUUGACAACACAUACCAAGCCACCAUAGGAAUAGAUUUCCUCUCAAAAACCAUGUACCUUGAAGACAGAACUAUCAGGUUGCAGCUGUGGGACACAGCAGGGCAAGAGCGGUUCCGCAGCCUCAUCCCAAGUUAUAUUAGAGAUUCUGCUGCCGCUGUUGUCGUGUACGACAUCACAAACGUUAACUCUUUCCAGCAAACCACAAAAUGGAUUGAUGACGUUAGAACAGAGAGAGGAAGUGAUGUCAUCAUCAUGUUGGUGGGAAACAAGACGGACCUUGCUGACAAAAGGCAAGUUUCUAUUGAAGAGGGUGAACGGAAAGCCAAAGAACUAAAUGUAAUGUUUAUUGAGACUAGUGCGAAAGCGGGCUACAACGUAAAGCAGACAGAUAACCACAGAGGAAGGAGAACAGAGAGCAAAAGAGAUGAAUGUUCUGUUUAUUGAAACAAGUGCAAAGACAGGCUACAAUGUCAAACAGGUAGAGGCUGUGCACCUUCAUGUGUGCAUGUGUUCAUUGCACUCCUGCUUUUUUUUCUGAUUGGCUUCUUUUUUCACAACAUGUGCUCUGAACAUCAGCUUGCAAUGAGGUGCAUGGUUUGGCUUUGCAAAUUCUCUGUUAUGUAUUGGCCAUUUUUUUUAUUUGCAAAACUUUAAAGUCGAGUGAGAGUUUGUAAACCAGCGAUUGACCCAACAGUAUUCAGUCUGUGCUGCAGCAAAAUCUGCAUGCUGACGAGAUUCAUUUGAUGCAAUCUUUUGAUUGAUGUGCAUGAUCAAGAUUCUUAAAAAAAAACAUAUUUCAGCAGCAAAUACUAGUAUUUAUGAAAGCUUAAAGUGGAAAUUCAUCAAGAAAGCAUUUAGUCUUUCACACGAUUGCACCAAACAGCAUGUUUUCUAUCUAAGUGUAAAGAUUAGUGAUUAUCCUCAUUUAGAAAAACUUAACUUAAAGCUAAAAAAAAACUUUAUUAUAACUGGUCAUUGAGAAAAGUUGGAAAAAUGUUUAAUUUUAUUAUAGUUUACUAUAGAAGAACACAUGUUCAUAAAAUUGCACCAAUCAGACAACUUGGCUGUCUCUGACAACUGAAAUCAAAAAGUCAUUAAUAGCAUUAGUAUUAGUUUAUAUCCAAACUUGAGUAUUAUGUUUAACAAAAAUAUGUAUUACUGUUAUGUUUUCAUAUUGAUAUUUUUUCAUGAAGUCCUUCAGUUUUUAAAAAUAGAACCCCGUUUUGUCCCUUUUUUAUUUUGAGGCACUUUUCAGUAAAUCAAAGGAAAACUUUUGAUGGUGUCUUCCACUGCGCAAGUUUCUGCAGAACCUCUGUAAAUCAGAUGAAUUCAUCCAUUGCAUGCUAUCUGUGUUUCUUCCUGUACUUGCAUUAACAGUUUUUCUUUGACUCAAGAUAUUGACGGUAUCCUCUAUCUUCUGCAGCUUUUCCGCCGUGUGGCUGCCGCCCUCCCCGGCAUGGAUACCUCACAAGACAAGAGUCGAGAGGACAUGAUUGACAUUAAGCUGGAGAAACCUCCAGAGCAGCCUGCCAGUGAAGGGAGCUGUUCCUGCUAAUAUUUUUGCCUGUAUUAGUGGUUUUUCCCGGAAGCUAUUUCUUCUUUUUUUAUUUUUGUUUUGUUUUUACAAAUAUAUAUAUAUAUAUGCACCCUUCAUUAUCCACUGCAAGAACACUACAUCUGCUAUCCCUGUUGUUGUGAACACAGACUCUAAAAGUUACAUAUCACUAAAAAUGUAGUAUUUUUCACUGCAUGAAUUGGACUGAUAUGUUUAUACUGUUAAAAUUUGUUUUUCUGCUGACAUUCUGUUAAUUUUUUCAAAUGAAAAAAAGUGGUUUAAGAGCAAGAAGCCAGUCUUGAGUAUUUUUUGAGCAAAAUAAAUGAAAUUGUCUUGUAAAAGUCAUCAAAGCAAUGUAUUUAAAAGUUGAAAAUGUCCUUUGACAUUUUUGUUAAAGUCAUGUGGCUUGUGUUUACUUGUUCCAAGCAAAAUCUGUUUACAGUCAACUGGCUUAAAUACAUUAAUAUAUUAUCAUUGAUAAACAAAAAAAAAUCAGCACAUUUAAAUAGUUAAGUCAACAUUUAUUGGAUUUGUGUUCUGACUUCCUGUAUAAUUACGUGAUCAGCCCUUUAGGUUAAGACCCAGAUUUGCUGUUUUGAAAUGAUUUUUUUCUUUCACUAAUUAAAAAUUCUCACUGACCAAAAAAAAAAAAAAAUUGCUAUCUGACAAGAGCACGCCAAGGUAUCUCACACAAAACCGUCCUUUCUUUUCUUCAUUCUAAUAACCCAUCAGAUUUUUUUCUAUCUUUUUCAUUUUAUCAUGGUUUAUCUUUCAUUUUUGCAUACACUUUUUCCUUUUAAAAUUAUAAUUGCGGUGUCAUAGAUGAUUAUUUAAUAGUGUUUAAGGAGGACUUUUUCUCAACUCCUACCUUAAACAGGGUAGAUAUGCAGAUUUAUGCCUUUCAGAGUAAAAGUAUAGAGGGCCUCUUUGACUUUGGGUUGUGUAGAUCAGUUUGUAAGAACACUUUUAAAGCUUUGAUUUUUCUUUUUUUUAUAAUUUUUACUUUUGGCAUUGAUCUGUUGUUAGGGAUUGAGCAACAUGUAUUUAAUUCAUAGUGACUUGAGAUAUUUAUUCUGUUGGACUCAUGCUUCUUUUAUAUGACUGUUAUUUUCUUCACUUUUGUUUAAAAAAAAAGUCCUGAAUCAUUAAUAAAAUUAUGCAUCUUUUUGGAUUUUCUUUAACUGAGUUUGACCAUCUGCUGUCCCAUAUGCUACCUUUUGGUGGUGUUUUGAUCAUACUGACCAUAUUGUGCAAUUUUUGUGUAAAUUUAUGUAUGGAAGUACAGUUUGUAUAGCAUGGGUGUCCUUAACGUUUCUGUAUGGAAUGGUUUUAAAUGAAAGAAUAAAUAUACAAUUUUGUCACCAUGA